rnacentral:snRNA from 1 species
GUGCUCACUUUGGUAGCACAUAUACUAAAAAUUGGAAUGAUACAGAGAAGAUUAACAUGACCGCUGCACAAAGAUGACAUGCAAAUCUGUGAAGUGUUCCAUAUUUUU